UAUCUAAUAAUGGUAAAAUGUGAUUUAUUAAGUAAAACCUUAGUUUUAUUUGACUUGGCCUAGCGUCUUGUCAAUGACACGACUUUUUGAAGUGACUCAUUUGGCAGGUUACAAGUGAAUCAUUGAAUCACCAACUGAACCGAGUCGUUCAAAACACUCGAUCUGAUUCGAUCUGUGAGGAAACACAUCUCAUUUGGGCUCGUUAUAAUUUUCUUUGUAGGAGGAAAAACAGACAACUGUAACUGGAAAUGUGGUGUGCAUACAUUUGAAUCCCAAAAUAAAUUUUACAGUGGUCUCUGUGGGACAGUCAAGGUUCAGUCACAGGCUCAUAGACGUCACUAAACAGAUCCUGCUGUGCUGCUCUCACUGUGGAUGACUGCCAAGUGCCGUGGAGUUUGAACACUAAUUGGGCCAAGACGUGCGACUCUCCUGUGACGUACAUGAUGGGAGUCAAAUCAAUGAGAUGAGGCUGAAUCAAUGAGAUGUCAGUGUUGUCUUAUCAUUGCCUUUUGAAGCUUAAUGAUGAUCUCGCAGCUGCAGGUUAUAAUUUGACCAGACAAAAUAAAGGGGAGACGACAAAGCUGAGAAAUGAAACCCAACAUCGUGCUGAGUGAAAGAAGAAGGUUGCUCACCUCCGAUUUUCCAAAAACCAAUUUCCAAUCUACUUAUUCUGCUCUCGCACAGUAUGAGUCAUCUAACACACGGAGCAGCGCAGCUCCAACUGUAUUCUCUAUGGGGCAGGAAACAUCAUUUAAUUUCAGCAUUUUUGCUGAAAAACUGCUGAUGUAUAUUUCUGCCUCUUUACCUCUGCUUUCACCUUCUCAGGUUCAUGAUUCAUGCUUGGUUUUUGCAUUUUAAAAAAGGUACAAAGUCAAUUAUAUUUAGCCCAAACAGUCACAUUAACAGUCAUUAAAGUGUGAAAAGUAAUUAAACACUAAUUUGAGAGCAUUUGCAGUGAGUGCUCUUGUUGUCAGAUGUUCUGCUUUAGAUCAUCUCCUCACUGUAUUGUUGUGGACAGGACCGUUCAUAGUCAGCACCUCUCUAAGCUUAGGAACAGUUAAUUGAUUAGCCAUGCCACCUACUCCCUCUGAGCCCUCUCUCUAAAGAUAAGUGUCGUCUCUGAAAUCGAACCCUCUGCCUGGCAUGCUUCCGUCUGAUUAGCUGCCUGAACAAUUAUCUUAAUCGUGUCAUCUUAACAAACCCCCGCGAUAAGCCGCCUUGGGGCCAGUAAUCCAGAAGACCUUCGCCUACACGGCAAACUGUCCCUUAUCUCUCUUCAUAAUAAAGAUGAAUUAAGUUGAGGAAAAGACAACAUAAAGUUCCCAUUGCGGGUGUUUACGCGUCUUUGUUAGUGACAGUUGAUAGUUUAUCAAAUUAAGACAUUAGGAGUCAAAUCAUCAUGACUUAACAGCAUUUAAUGUGUGGAAAAACAAUGUUAGAAAAAACUAGUUAAGUAAUGAUGAGUGCAUAGCUAGCUUGCAGUGCACAAAAUAGCCAACC